CUGGGCCCAGAUCGUUUACCGUGAAAAAAUUAGAGUGUUCAAAGCAGGCAGAUCCAAUUUUCUGCCACCGAAUACAUUAGCAUGGGAUAAUGGAAUAGGACCCUGUCCUCCUAUUUUCAGUUGGUUUGCCGCGAGGACCAGGGUAAUGAUUAAUAGGGAUAGUUGGGGGCAUUAAUAUUUAAUUGUCAGAGGUGAAAUUCUUGGAUUUAUGAAAGAUUAACUUCUGCGAAAGCAUCUGCCAAGGAUGUUUUCAUUAAUCAAGAACGAAAGUUAGGGGAUCGAAGACGAUCAGAUACCGUCGUAGUCUUAACCAUAAACGAUGCCGACCAGCGAUUAGGAGACGUUGAAUACAAAACACCACCAUGCGCAUUGCGGUCGUCUUUGGUGUCGCUCAACAGGCGACACCGGGGCGGCUUAGCUCGCAUGGCACCGGUGAAUGACU
rnacentral:rRNA from 1 species